rnacentral:snoRNA from 1 species
GCGAGGUGACGAUAGAAUCAUGAAGUCUGUCAAUCCACUGACGACAGUGUGAUGUCAAUCCAUGAAUCCCGACAGGUUCUGAUCGC